rnacentral:rRNA from 1 species
CGCGUAGGCGGAUAUUUAAGUCAGGGGUGAAAUCCCAGAGCUCAACUCUGGAACUGCCUUUGAUACUGGGUAUCUUGAGUAUGGAAGAGGUAAGUGGAAUUCCGAGUGUAGAGGUGAAAUUCGUAGAUAUUCGGAGGAACACCAGUGGCGAAGGCGGCUUACUGGUCCAUUACUGACGCUGAGGUGCGAAAGCGUGGGGAGCAAACA